CUGAAUAGUGCUUGCUUUAUAUCUUCCGGGCUCGUACAAUUUCUCUGCUCAGCUGCCUAAGACCAUUAUGACAAUAAGGUAAAAAAGUAACACAUUUGAUUCCAGUCAUCAUGUAAAUCAAUAGAGACCACUAAAAUAAGUUACAGAAUGCAACUUUGUACAAACCUCAGAGCAGGUUGCUUGCAUUGAAAAAUCAUUGAAGUUGCUUAUAACACACUGAUGAAUCUCAAGGCCUAAUGCUUCUAGGGUAUUCACUGUGGACAGGAGUAAUCCUAGCUUUGUGGCACAGCAGAUGCUAAUCCUUGUGUCAUGCUGUCUUCUC
rnacentral:lncRNA from 1 species